GAUGAACGCUGGCGGCGUGCCUAAUACAUGCCAGUCGAGCGAACAGACGAGGAGCUUGCUCCUCUGACGUUAGCGGCGGACGGGUGAGUAACACGUGGAUAACCUACCUAUAAGACUGGGAUAACUUCGGGAAACCGGAGCUAAUACCGGAUAAUAUAUUGAACCGCAUGGUUCAAUAGUGAAAGACGGUUUUGCUGUCACUUAUAGAUGGAUCCGCGCCGCAUUAGCUAGUUGGUAAGGUAACGGCUUACCAAGGCAACGAUGCGUAGCCGACCUGAGAGGGUGAUCGGCCACACUGGAACUGAGACACGGUCCAGACUCCUACGGGAGGCAGCAGUAGGGAAUCUUCCGCAAUGGGCGAAAGCCUGACGGAGCAACGCCGCGUGAGUGAUGAAGGUCUUCGGAUCGUAAAACUCUGUAUUAGGGAAGAACAAAUGUGUAAGUAACUAUGCACGUCUUGACGGUACCUAAUCAGAAAGCCACGGCUAACUACGUG
rnacentral:rRNA from 1 species